rnacentral:rRNA from 1 species
UGAAGAACGCAGCUAGCUGCGAGAAUUAUUGUGAAUUGCAGGACACAUUGAUCAUCGACACUUCGAACGCACUUGCGGCCCCGGGUUCCUCCCGGGGCUACGCCUGUCUGAGCGUCG